CCUACGGGGGGCAGCAGUGGGGAAUAUUGGACAAUGGGGGCAACCCUGAUCCAGCCAUGCCGCGUGUGUGAAGAAGGCCCUCGGGUUGUAAAGCACUUUCAGUGAGGAAGAACGCCUGGUGGUUAAUACCCAUCAGGAAAGACAUCACUCACAGAAGAAGCACCGGCUAACUCCGUGCCAGCAGCCGCGGUAAUACGGAGGGUGCGAGCGUUAAUCGGAAUUACUGGGCGUAAAGCGCGCGUAGGUGGCUUGAUAAGCCGGUUGUGAAAGCCCCGGGCUCAACCUGGGAACGGCAUCCGGAACUGUCAAGCUAGAGUGCAGGAGAGGAAGGUAGAAUUCCCGGUGUAGCGGUGAAAUGCGUAGAGAUCGGGAGGAAUACCAGUGGCGAAGGCGGCCUUCUGGACUGACACUGACACUGAGGUGAGAAAGCGUGGGUAGCAAACAGGAUUAGAUACCCGUGUAGUC
rnacentral:rRNA from 1 species